GGAUGAAUGAGCUUACACUCCUCCACCACCUUCCGGGCCAGGGAGCUUAUGUCGGUGUUGGCAUUGAGACUCUUGAGACGAAUGCUGCAAGCACAUCAGAACACCCAACUCAGGCACCACGGAGUUCAGUUGAUACACUGGAAACUCAGUAAGGAAAGGCUGUUCAGAGUCUGGAAAAAAUCGCCCAUUUACACGGAUUCAUGGCACCAGAGAGUCGCGGAGACACAGAGUCAGACUCCCCAGUGACAAAGGUCUCUGAGGCAGACACACUCAUGCAAGGCUUAACUGUGAAAACAGAAACCUAAGAAAGCAGCUGUGUGGAAUUAUUUCUUGUUGAAGACGCCACUUUUCGGCGAGACAUCAAGGCAUCAGAGGGCAGGACAGCCCUGUAUUCAGUACCCGUGAGUCACUAUCCAAAUGGAGAUGAUCUCCCCUGAAGUCGGUCGAUUAGUAAUUUACAUAAGAUGUCCAGCUGCACAGUCAUCCCCAAACUCGGACCUCCUGGGCUUCUACAGGUCACCUAAUAUAACAGCCUGUAAUAAAUUCCUUUUAUGCCUAAA